CUCCUCAUUCCAACGCACCUUUAUCCCUCUCUCUACGGCGCUCUCUCCACGCACGAUUUCAAAGAAGACGAUUCAUUCUUCAAGAAAACGAUUCAGGUGACUUACAGUGUAUAAAUGAUGAAGCAUGAUUCACGCUCCUGUCACGCGAUUCAAAUCCCACACGAUUCAGCCGAUUUUGUGGAGUUUGUGUGUAGCGAUUCAAGCUAUUCAGGACUGACCUCAAGCGAUUCAGGGCGAUUCUUUGGAGGUUCUCAAAGCAAGGAUAAUAUCAAAGGACAACAUUCAAGUUAGAAAGCAUAAAGGGCAUGGCAUAUUGUUAUCUGGAGUAACAGAAGUAAAAGUGUUCACACAGCCACAUUACUUGCAUAGAGAACUGUGAGGUACCAAAUAUCAGUGUGGUGGGACAUAGAGAACUGUCAGGUACCGAAAGGUUGUGAACCUCAUUCGAUCGCUCAGAAUAUAAGUUCUGCUUUGGUUGUUAUGAAUUACUGUGGGCCAGUAUCGAUUUCUGCCUACGGCGACACCAAUCGGAUCCCGGCCUCCGUACAGCAAGGUCUCAACAGUACCGGCAUCACCUUGAAUCAUGUGCCCGCUGGUAUAUACAUAUAAUUUUACAUCUAUCGCACCAUAUAUGGCAUAAGUAUAUAAAAGCAGAGUCUUUUUUGAUGUUGAACUGAAAGCGAUGAAUGUGCUUUUUGUGCUUUGAGUGAUUGAUUUUGGCAAAGGACUAUUACUUCAAAAAAAGACUUACAUAUGUGGUUGGUGCACCCCAAUCUGUCUGUAUAAUUAAGAUGGAGUAAUUUUUGUUAGUUACAUAUUUAGGGAAUGGUAGAGGAGUAGGCAAGGAGAGUUGAUCUGGUUUGUUUUAGUACUGCUUAUUUAUUUAUUCAGCUAAAUGCUAUCUUUAU